ensembl:lncRNA
GAUCAAUGGUGACGGGUGAUUGGAUGUUGUGAACAAUGGUGAUCAGUGAUUGGUUUUUGGGAAGAGUUGUAAUCAGUAAUUGGUUGUUGUGAACAAUUGUGAUCAGUGAUUGGUUGUUGGGAAGAGUUGCAAUCGGUAAUUGGUUGUUGUGAACAAUGGUGACCAGUGAUUGGUUGUUGGGAACAGUUGUAAGCAGUAAUUGGUUGUUGUGAACAAUGGUGAUCAGUUACUGGUUGUUGGGAACAGUUGUGAUCAGUGAUUGGUUGUUGAGAAGCCAUGGUGCUCAGUAACUGAUUGUUGGUUACAGUGUUGAUCAACAACUGUUGUUUGGGAGCAAUGGUGAUUAGUGCCUGGUUGCUAAGAAGAGCUGUCAUCAGUGAUUAGUCAUCGGGAACGAUAGUGGUCAGUGCUAUAUCGAGUGCAGUACAGUGGCUGAACAUCUGCUCGUUUAGUCACUGAUCUCGCAACACUGGAGCUGUGUAUAAACGAAGGCUGAGGUGAGCGCGGCGCUGAAGCAGGAGCGAGACAAACCUGCUUCAUGACAACCGUUUUUUUUUUAACCCAAAAACUUUGUACGGCUUAAAAACCCUCUGGAAAUGAGUAUGAACACUAAGAUAAUCGAAAAUAAAAAUAAUUUCUUUAGUAGGAGCAAUAAGAGCUCAAAGUGCCUGUAAGUCACCGAGGUCAUUUUUCACACAUACACAGAAGUGUUCCUUAUUAAGUCUCCGAAAAGACGGGGACCAGGUCUGACCGAGCCGAGCGCAGAGCACAGAGCACAGAGCACAGAGCUUUCGCGCUCGACUGUGUGUAAUCUGUUUUCAGACCUGAGCUCAUGGCCGAAACACUCUGCAAAAAAUAUUAACACCUCACAAAUCUGAUGACCCGUGAACACUUCCCGCCGAGGCGUUCCCCCCGAGCCAACCUCAGCGUGGACGAGCCCAGCUUACAGCUAACCCUUAAUAAAUCUUUCAAACGUUUUACUCUCUCUAGGACUGACCGGCACUGCUGCAGGGCUUGCAUAAACUUCUCUAAUAUAUAGCAUGCUUAUUUGAAUGGAAAGCCCACUCGUGGUUUUCAGAGGUCAGAGUCCGUGACCGAGCCUGGAUCUGUUUUUCGGAAGAAGACAAAAAGUGACAACUUCGGCGGGCCUGUAAUGGCACCCUGGUGACGUCGGGCUCGGAUAUCAAUUAGACCUGCUCAUUCAUGGUGGGAAGAGCGGGAGGUGGUUGCCGAGUUCUCCCCCUGCUGUGUUUGGUUUGGCCCGUCGCCGGCACGGCGCAGGUAUCCCACCCGAUUAAUGAGUGCCUGCUCUGUACUCAGUACUUCCUGUAAGUAUUGGCUGAGAGAGCCUGUACCUGUCCACUAGAAUUUUCUAUUUUCGCUUGAUCUGUCGUAUUUACUCUCUCUCUCGUUUCACUUUUAAUGCCGAAAUUCCUGUCAGUUCCUCUUUUUUUUCUUCCCCAAUUGUGCCUAAAACAAACUAAUAAGAAUGAAAAAGCAAUCUGUUACAAGAGUUAGUAGCCUAAAAGUCUGUUAUUUAACGUUCCGAGUGUGUUACCCGUCACCUUCCGGGAUUGGUAUCUGUCAUAUGAUAGGGGAGACCUAACUGCUGGGUGGGAAUUAAAUUAGGGAGAAAAAUUGGGGUCCAAACCCCCCCUACCAACAAACCCAACCACACAUUGUACGCAUUUUUAUCCGUUUAUAGUUACAGUUAAUGUUAUAGAACAUCUAAGACAAGCGAAUUAGUUCCUGUAGUUAACGUCACAGCGUCGACAAUCACACAGUUUUC